CCACUUUUGGGCCCUUGAUGUCAGCUUCUGGGCCCUUGAGGUCACCUUCCACUUUAGGAAGGGUAACAUCCACAUCGCCCUUCACUUUGGGUCCUUUCAGGUUUAAGUCAAUAUCAGGCAUGGAGAUCUUGGGGGCUUUGAUAUUCAUCUCUGGCAUCUUGAACUUAGGCCCUUUCAACUUUCCCUCUGGUCCUUCAAUGUUAACAUCAGGCAUGGAGAUCUUGGGGGCCUUGAUA
rnacentral:lncRNA from 1 species